UACGUAGGGCGCAAGCGUUUAUCCGGAAUUAUUGGGCGUAAAGAGCUCGUAGGCGGUGUGUCGCGUCGGUCGUGAAAACUUGGGGCUUAACCCUGAGCUUGCGGUCGAUACGGGCAUCACUGGAGUUCGGCAGGGGAGACUGGAAUUCCUGGUGUAGCGGUGAAAUGCGCAGAUAUCAGGAGGAACACCGGUGGCGAAGGCGGAUCUCUGGGCCUUACCUGACGCUGAGGCGCGAAAGCGUGGGGAGCGAACAGG
rnacentral:rRNA from 1 species